UCAAUCAAACAAGUAUUCAACGCCUGCUGUGCUGAGGCAGAUACAGAGAAGCUGAAGGUAAGACUGCCCGUGCACCUACCCAGAAGUGGGCUGACAGGAAUCACCGACUUGAAAUAAGGGCUGCUCGACGCUAACCUGUGGGAUCCCAACCAUGGACGAAUGCAGCCAUAGAGACGACGAGACGCUGACUCCAAGGAAAGCUAGGAAAGAGAAGAUUCAGCAUUCACAGCCUCUGCAGUUGAAGAUGCUGACCCUGGGCAAACCAGAUGCAAAUAAGUCAGGAUCCAUACGUCUGCACCUCUGGGGUCUCUUGUGCCACCGUGGUGCUCAGAACACUGAGAAGUCACCAGCAACGGUCUCCGACC
ensembl:lncRNA